rnacentral:rRNA from 1 species
GUCUUUUUGAUAAUAAUAUAAAGUCUGACCUGCCCACUGAAGAUUUAAAUGGCCGCGGUACUUUGACCGUGCAAAGGUAGCAUAAUCAUUAGUUUUUUAAUUGAAAGCUGGUAUGAAGGGUUGAAUGAGAAAAUAACUGUCUCUGUUUAAUUUUAUUAGAAUUUUAUUUUUAAGUUAAAAAGCUUAAAUAUUUUUAAAAGACGAGAAGACCCUAUAGAGUUUUAUAAAUAUAUUAAAUUAUAAUUUUAGUAUUAAUAAAGUUAAUUUUUUUUUAUUUAUUUAGUUGGGGUGAUUGAAAAAUUUAUUAAACUUUUUUUAUAUUAUUUCAUUAAUUUAUGAUUAAUUGAUCCUAUAUUUUAGAUUAAAAGAUAAAGUUACCUUAGGGAUAACAGCGUAAUUUUUUUUAAGAGUUCUAAUCGAAAGAAAAGAUUGCGA